rnacentral:rRNA from 1 species
GUGGGGAAUCUUGCGCAAUGGGCGAAAGCCUGACGCAGCCAUGCCGCGUGAAUGAUGAAGGUCUUAGGAUUGUAAAAUUCUUUCACCGGGGACGAUAAUGACGGUACCCGGAGAAGAAGCUCCGGCUAACUUCGUGCCAGCAGCCGCGGUAAUACGAAGGGGGCUAGCGUUGCUCGGAAUUACUGGGCGUAAAGGGCGCGUAGGCGGACAGCUUAGUCAGAGGUGAAAGCCCAGGGCCCAACCUUUGAAUUGCCUUUGAUACUGUCUGUCUUGAGUUUGGGAGAGGUGCGUGGAACUCCGAGUGUAGAGGUGAAAUUCUUAGAUAUUCGGAAGAACACCAGUGGCGAAGGCGACUCACUGGCCCAAUACUGACGCUGAGGCGCGAAAGCGUGGGGAGCAAACAGGAUUAUAAACCCUGGUAGUCC